rnacentral:rRNA from 1 species
GACGAACGCUGGCGGCGUGCCUAAUACAUGCAAGUCGAGCGAGCUGAAUUCAAAGAUCCCUUCGGGGUGAUUUGUUGGACGCUAGCGGCGGAUGGGUGAGUAACACGUGGGCAAUCUGCCCUAAAGACUGGGAUACCACUUGGAAACAGGUGCUAAUACCGGAUAACAACAUGAAUCGCAUGAUUCAAGUUUGAAAGGCGGCGUAAGCUGUCACUUUAGGAUGAGCCCGCGGCGCAUUAGCUAGUUGGUGGGGUAAAGGCCUACCAAGGCAAUGAUGCGUAGCCGAGUUGAGAGACUGAUCGGCCACAUUGGGACUGAGACACGGCCCAAACUCCUACGGGAGGCAGCAGUAGGGAAUCUUCCACAAUGGACGCAAGUCUGAUGGAGCAACGCCGCGUGA